UACAGAGGUCUCAAGCGUUGUUCGGAUUCAUUGGGCGUAAAGGGUGCGUAGGUGGCGAUGUAAGUCUGAUGUGAAAUCCUGGGGCUCAACCCCAGAACUGCAUUGGAUACUGCCUUGCUAGAGUACUGGAGAGGAAACUGGAAUUUACGGUGUAGCAGUGAAAUGCGUAGAGAUCGUAAGGAAGACCAGUGGCGAAGGCGAGUUUCUGGACAGUAACUGACGCUGAGGCACGAAGGCCAGGGGAGCAAACGGG
rnacentral:rRNA from 1 species